rnacentral:lncRNA from 10 species
GUCAGCUCCUGCCAGCUUCAGUGCACAGCUAAAUGUGCUUGCUGAGUGACUAGUAACCACCAGCUAGCCCAGAGACUAUGGAGCACAGAUAACACAUCUAGGCAAAGACUGGCUGGCUAGUGUCGCCUCAGCCACACUGAUCUGUUCUCCAAUGAAUGUUUGCUAUUGGGCAGUUUAUUCCAAGUAUAGUUAGAGAGGCCAGAGGGGCCAUGGGAAGAGGCCACAUGCACAUCCGCACCUGUGCCUCUCAGUGUGUCCCUGCCUGCGCAGGAGCCUGUUCAAAUAUUGAUCAAAAGCAGCUUUGUCACAGGCGCUGGAAAUGGGAGCUCCUUCUGAAACACGGACCCACUUAACCAGAAAAGGAGUGGUGUUUCUAAGAACUGUCACUUUGAGAAUUCAGCUUGGAAGGAUAAACAAGACACUGACAUGGCACUGACAUGGAUCCUGUUCAUACUGCCAAGGCUAUCAUCUGUGUUUGGCCAAACCACCACAAACAAGCAGGAUCCCACACCAGGCAGCCCCAGGGCACUCGCUGUUCCUGCCACAGGCUUCAGAAGCAUCUCACCCACAAGGGCACCAUUCAGAAGCAGGCUGUGUGAGCCCGGGGUAGAGUAAGACAAACAAUGGCAGAAAAGUAGAAGGGAGUCUGGGCUCAUUCUCUGUGGGACAGGACAAGAGAGGAGCAAUGGGGGCAUUCACAGGGAGAAGGAAAUGCUCUGCCUUCAGGGGUGGUGAGUUGGGGGCGUCACGAUUAGACCAGAAGGAAACUCAAUGUUUAUAAAAAUCCAAACCUACAGAUUAAUUAGGGAGCAAUUUCAAAAGUAGUUUUUUUCCUCCCCUUAAAGAAUGAAUUUAUGCACUCAUGCAUGAAAAUACUUUCUCAUUUCAGGGAGUAUAUCAUGCAAAAGAUGAGGCACACCUGCAUCUGGGCCUGGGGAUCUCCAAGUAAUUAACAAUCCGUUGUUAUCUUCAAAGAUGUUUUCUUAGGAAGAAAACCUGGGCCCUAAGCCUUGAGAGAACGUAGCCCCUAUCCUGAUUUCACAAGAAUUGGGGCUAAGGGCUGGAGGCUUGAGAACCGGACCGAGGCUUUGACAGGAUUGUCACAGGCUAGGAAAACACAGGAAAUGUUUAAUCAGAAGGAAUGAAAACACAGUGUACAAAGAGAAAUCUGAUCUCCAUAGCCUAUCUUUAUUAUGGCUAAGCGGUGUGGGGAGGGGAGAAGUGAAUCUAAAACCACCAGACUGUUGAAACAGAACUGUUAAUGGGGCAAAAAGCCUGCCUCAAGACAAAAAUGGGUUGUCCAGCUCUCGGUAAACACCUGUGCCAGCUGGGAGCCGUGGUAUUCAGGCUCGUAAGUACCUCAGACUGGAACAUACUAUUCUCACAGUCUGCACCUGUGAACUUUCUAGAGGGAUUUGUUCCAGUUUGUGAUUACUCCUUGGAAUGUGAAGCCUUUCACUCUGGACCUAUACAGGCCAUCUCCCAAGGUAGUGUCCCAUUAAAAAAGAAGGGAGAGAAAAGCCUAACUGGCCUGUGAGCUCUGGAGAGGGUGGGAGGGAGUGGGAUAGGAGUUCAAGCUGAAUCCUGCCCCUCCAAGCUCAUUGCUGGCCCCUGAAGUGACUUGGGUGAGCAUGAUCACCCAUCUGCCAAUCAAAGGCUGAACUUCAGGGCCCAGGCAAAUGGUAAGAAACUCUUCUUUAACUUGUGCUAUUUAAAAAAUAUAAAUCUUCACAGAGGGGAGGAUUCCUUUUAUGAGGUCCUGUAGGUCCUGCUUAUGGAAGUGAAAAAGGUGUUGCUCUCCUCAGGAGUAGAUGCUGGUUAAAUAUUUCUUGGCUGAGUCAGGUGAGAAUGCACUUCCAUGGGGUUGGAAGAGUUGUUUAGUAGAAGCAAUACAAGGAAACAUCACCAACAGGUCAUAGGGUGUUAGAAGGAAAAGUGCUUGCUGAUGUAGUGUGAGAGAAGACCUAAGGAUAGAAUUCUGGAGAAUAGCUUUUAAGAAAGAGCAAUUUCCAAUGAAGUUCAAGUCAAGGUUUUAUUUGUUUGCCAAAGGACAUUUUCCCCAAGAAAACCUAGAGAGGUGCAAUGCAGAAAAUUACAGCCUCUCAGGCUGCAUCAGAAGGCGGUUCUAGUGACCUUCCCUGCUCAGCAUCUCCUGCUCCUUCUGAGUCCUCCUCUGGGACAUCUUGCAAGACCCUGGACACCUUUGAGCUCAGUUUGGAAACACAGAAUUAAUCAAUAUCACUAAGUGUCUACUCCCAGCUCCCAUUUGCACCUACAAUUAAGUGGCCGACUUCUCAGCAGAGCCUUGCACGCUUCAGCCGAUUUGUCAGAGCACAUCUACUGCUCCGUGGUGCCUUAGAAAGGCGUUGGUAGAAGGCUGCAAAUCAGCCCUUUAGGAAAUUGGCAGUUCCCAUUCCAGGACAGGCCUACCAUUGGGUCUCUGGGCAUCUGCAUUGUACAAGCCCUAAGCUAGUAAAAGCCUCACUGGGCUAUGUCCUUGGACUUCCUCUAAUAUUCAUUGUCAGCAAAUAUGAAUAAUGCCUAAAUUUCAGAAUUACCACUGGGCUAAAUUAAUCUUCUCUAGAACGAAUGCAUCUUUAAUACUUCCAUCAAAAACUACUUUGAGAAAAAGAGAGAAGGGUUACCUUAUUUCCAGGCAUCUUGUGUCAACAAUCCACUUUAGGUUCCAUACUUGCCACUCUUGAAUAAUUAAAAGUCAAGGUCGCACAUGUCACUGAAGAAACCUGUAAUGAACAUUUAAGCAUAAGUAUUAGACUCUCUAAAUUACCUCAGACUGUUCUUUAAAGGGUAUUAAGAGAGACAGAGAGAUCUUGGCCUAAUUUUUAUUUGGGAAAACAGCUUUUUGUGAUUUCAUAACUUUUGCUUACAUAAAAAGAUUUAAAAAUUUAAGGUAAACUCUCACUGACUAGAUGACACAGCCUUCUUCUAGAUGAAUAUUGUAAGGUUUUGAGACAGCAGUGAUGUCCUGAUCCACAUGGCAGAUGGUGGAAGUAAUUUCAGAUAUCCUCAAAUCCUACACCCACAUUCUACAAGUAAGCGAAUUGAGGUCCAGGUGGGUAAAGAAAUUUUCUUCAUACACUAAAGCUAGCUAGCAGGCAGACAGAAACAAGAAUCUUGUGUUUAUGGCUCCAAAUGCAGUGCUUUUCCUACUACAUCAUGUAACAAAUGCAGAACAAUUAGUAAACAUCUCUCAGAGCUGCUGUUUUGCUUCCAGCGCAAUUCAAAUUGUGUUCAUCAGACUCAUUUAUAUGCCGCUAACAAGAAUGCCUGCAUCAGUUAUGUCUUGCACACAUUUGUUAUAAAGAGAAUGACCUUUAGACCUUCAAAUGUGUCUUUCAUUUGUUGGGGCUCUGUGGACAAGCUGGAAGGAUUGGGAUGU